GCGCCCGUAGCUCAAUCGGACAGAGCAUCUGCCUUCUAAGCAGGUGGUUGUGGGUUCAAUUCCCGCCGGGCGCA
rnacentral:tRNA from 1 species